UACGGAGGGGGCUAGCGUUGUUCGGAAUUACUGGGCGUAAAGCGCACGUAGGCGGCUUUGCAAGUUAGAGGUGAAAGCCCGGGGCUCAGCUCCGGAAUUGCCUUUAAAACUGCAUCGCUAGAAUUGUGGAGAGGUAAGUGGAAUUCCGAGUGUAGAGGUGAAAUUCGUAGAUAUUCGGAAGAACACCAGUGGCGAAGGCGACUUACUGGACACAUAUUGACGCUGAGGUGCGAAAGCGUGGGGAGCAAACAGGG
rnacentral:rRNA from 1 species